CCCUUAGAUGUCCUGGGCCGCACGCGCGCUACACUGAGUGUCUGAGAUACGAGUCUGCCUGGUCCGGCAAGGUCUAGGUAAUCGCUAAAAGACACAUCAUGCUUGGGAUAGAUUAUUGCAAAUAUUAAUCUUGAACGAGGAAUUCCUAGUAAGCGCAGGUCAACAGCUUGCGUUGAUUACGUCCCUGCCCUUUGUACACACCGCCCGUCGCUACUACUGAUUGGAUGUUUAAGCGAGGUUCUCGAACUGCUAGCGACUUAGCUUCGGUGAGGUCGCAGUGUGGGAAGUGAACCUAGCUUUGGUGUCUAGAGGAAGUAAAAGUCGUAACA
rnacentral:rRNA from 1 species